rnacentral:rRNA from 1 species
ACUCCUACGGGAGGCAGCAGUGGGGAAUAUUGCACAAUGGGCGCAAGCCUGAUGCAGCCAUGCCGCGUGUAUGAAGAAGGCCUUCGGGUUGUAAAGUACUUUCAGCAGUGAGGAAGGUGGGUAUGUUAAUAGCAUACUCAUUUGACGUUAGCUGCAGAAGAAGCACCGGCUAACUCCGUGCCAGCAGCCGCGGUAAUACGGAGGGUGCGAGCGUUAAUCGGAAUUACUGGGCGUAAAGCGCAUGCAGGUGGUUUGUUAAGUCAGAUGUGAAAGCCCGGGGCUCAACCUCGGAAUUGCAUUUGAAACUGGCAAACUAGAGUACUGUAGAGGGGGGUAGAAUUUCAGGUGUAGCGGUGAAAUGCGUAGAGAUCUAGAAGGAUACCGGUGGCGAAGGCGGCCCCCUGGACAGAUACUGACACUCAGAUGCGAAAGCGUGGGAGCAAACAGGAUUAGAUACCCUGGUAGGCGUUG